UCGUGGAGUGAUCUGUCUGGUUAAUUCCGCUAACGGACGAGACCUCUCUUUAUUAACUAGCCCGGCCGGUUGUCGAAGCGGGUGAAGCGUACGAGCACGUUGGGACCUCGGUUCUGGCUGCCGGUGCGUGGAACUCGGACAUACCGUGCUGGCGCUUCUUAGGAGUACAAUCUGCGGUUUAGCAGAAGGGAGCUAGAGGCAAUAACA
rnacentral:rRNA from 1 species